CCCUUAGAUGUUCUGGGCUGCACGCGUGCUACAAUGGCGCUUGCAACAAGUCUUGCCAACCCGAUAGGGUGAGCGGAUCUUUGAAGAGGCGUCGUGAUCGGGACAGUUGAUUGCAAUUAUUCGACUCGAACGAGGAAUUCCUUGUAAUCGCGAUUCAUCAUAUCGCGCUGAAUACGUCCCUGCCCUUUGUACACACCGCCCGUCGCUCCUACCGAUUGAGCGAUCCGGUGAAUAAUUCGGACUGCAGCAGUGUUCAGUUCCUGAACGUUGCAGCGGAAAGUUUAGUGAACCUUAUCACUUAGAGGAAGGAGAAGUCGUAACA
rnacentral:rRNA from 1 species